AUAAAUCUUCAGGGCAGGGUGAAAGUCCCUACCGGCGGUAUAGCCCGCGAGCCGUAAGGUUGAUUCGGUGAAACUCCGAAGCCGACAGUAAAGUCUGGACGGGAGAAGAUUAUA
rnacentral:ncRNA from 2 species